rnacentral:lncRNA from 10 species
GCGGAAGGUUGCCCGGGCUGGCGCCGCUGGGCAGAGCCGGUGCGACGUUUCCCUUUCCAGCUUUGUUCUUCCGGCCCUGCUGUCUGCCUCCCCGGCUGAUUGGAUUCGUUACUGCUUUGCAACGCGCACCUAACUCCAGGCUGGAAUGCAAUAGCGUGGUCUUGGCUCACUGCAACCUCCGCCUCCCGGGUUCAAGCAAUUCUCCUGCCUCAGCCUCCUAAGUAGCUGGGACUACAGCUUGAGGUCCUACCUGGUGUCCUCCAUGAGAAUCAUACAAGCCCCGCUACAGACAACAGAAUUGGAAGGUCCUGAGAGCUACCAGAAGCAUCUUCAGUUUUCAUAUGAAAAACUUAAGCCCAGGAGUGAUUUGUGCAGCCAAGGACACACAGCAAGUUAGUGGCUGCACCAGAAAUAGUACUCACUGCCUCAGACAGUCCCUCCCACAGUCUACUCUGUCUCCACCCCAAGGUCUGGUUCUGAAUCAUUCAGUUGUCAGUUGUCUCCUUUUUUUUUUUUUUUUUUGGAGACAGGGUCUCUCUCUGUGGCCCAGGCUGAAGUGCAGUGGUGUGAUUACAGCUCAUGUAGCCUGGACCUCCCAAGCUCAAGCAAUCCUCCUGCCUCUGCC